AUAUCAAUAAGCGGAGGAAAAGAAACCAACAGGGAUUGCCCUAGUAACGGCGAGUGAAGCGGCAACAGCUCAAAUUUGAAAUCUGGCCUUCGGGUCCGAGUUGUAAUUUGUAGAGGAUGCUUUUGGCGCGGUGCCUUCCGAGUUCCCUGGAACGGGACGCCUUAGAGGGUGAGAGCCCCGUACGGUUGGACACCAAGCCUCUGUAAAGCUCCUUCGACGAGUCGAGUAGUUUGGGAAUGCUGCUCUAAAUGGGAGGUAAAUUUCUUCUAAAGCUAAAUAUUGGCCAGAGACCGAUAGCGCACAAGUAGAGUGAUCGAAAGAUGAAAAGCACUUUGAAAAGAGGGUUAAAUAGCAC
rnacentral:rRNA from 1 species